rnacentral:tRNA from 1 species
GCUCCCGUCGUCUAGCCAGGUCAAGGAUAGAGCCCUCUCGAGGCUCAGACGCGGGUUCAAAUCCCGCCGGGAGCA